AUGGGGCACUGCGGUAGGGAGAUCGGCUCCAAGCGAGCGAAGCUCCCGGCCGCCGACGGCGCAAGCGAGGACCGCCUCAGCGCACUACCGGACGACGUUCUUAUCGGCAUCCUCCUCAAGCUCCGCCGCACCGCCUACGCCGCUCGGACCAGCGUCCUGUCCCGCCGCUGGCGCCGCCUCUGGGCCCUCCUCCCGAAUCUCAACUUCACCGGCGAUGCCGACCACCACCGCAUACUCCCUGCCCUCGCCGCCCAUCAAGCGCCGGUGCUCCAGGGCCUAAGCGCCUUCGUUGACGACAUCUCUGCCGAAUCCGUGGCGACCUGGCUCCCCAUAGCCGCGCGCCGCCUCUCCGGCGGUAUACUGCUUUACAACGCUGUACCGCAGAACCAGGCCAGGGAAAGAGGCGUCUUUGAGCUGCCACGCUUCGAGAACACCACCUCUAUCGUGUUCGACCUAGGAUUUCUUGGCCUUGCCGUGCCGCAUUCCAGCGUAUUCGCCCGCCUCGUCUCUCUCUGGCUGUUUGGUGUCCAUCUGCAUGGCCCGUGCGAGCUUGGUGACGCUCUCUCCUCACCGCGGUGCCCAUCCUUACGAGAACUCAAGAUCCGCAAUGCCUGGGGUCUUGGUAACUUCACCAUCCACUCCGAGUCUCUCCUGCAAAUGGAGCUGAAUAACUUGUAUGGCUUGCAGCAGCUCACUGUAGAAGCGAAGGUACUUCAAGAGUUAUAUGUGAGCUCUUGCUUUGAGAAUUCUAUCACUGCGGUGAGUCGACCGGUUGCAAACAUCUCAGCCCCUCAACUGGCGUCACUCCACUGGACGGAUGCUUAUGAACCAAGCUCUGUCCAGCUUGGCGAGAUGGCACAUCUCCAACGUCUGGAGACUGGUCAUUUUUUUGUGUUUGGACAUUAUUUGGAUGACUACACACCAAAUCGCAAUUGCUUGAGGCUCUUGCAGCAAUUUGAGGUCAUGCACCAUUUAAAGCUCUCGCUGAUCUAUCUGCUGGACAAAGGUCACCAUCAAUACCUGAUGGAGAACAUGACAAGGCUCCCUAACAUUACACUCUUGACCCUGAAUGUAAUGACAAAAGGACAUUCAUUUGGAGCAAGCUUAUUCCAUAUUCUCAGGAUGUGUACUGGUGUAAGAAAGUUGGCUCUUGUCUUUCUCGGAAAACCUAGCAAUCUGGAGGCACAAGCCACAUGCCCAUCAGGUUGCAUUUGUGAUCAACCACUAAACUGGAAAAGCGAGGAACUCAUAUUAAAUUGCCUCCCAGAAAUAGAAAUCAAUGGGUUUGGAGGAACUGAACAUGAAGUUGCUCUUGUGAAAUUGUUAUUCAAUUGGGCAGCAGUGCUAAAAAAGAUGACAAUAGCUUUCCAUUACUCAAUUCCUAAAAGGAAGGCUGAGGAGUUAGGCCACAUGUUACUAGGCUUCUCCAGCCCAGAAAUAUUGAUGGACUUUUUGCAUAUCAAGUAUUCUCGAGAAGGCGUACACUCGACAAGGCUCCAACUUUCUGUAACACCUAACCUGUGGUUGGUGGGCCCAGCCAGCUGGCCAGACAAGUGGUGUGCGUGGGUGGUGUUAAAAUGGCCGCCUGUGGCCGUGGUGGAUCACGUGUGUGUUGAUACUCUGAACUCUGAAUUCUUCCUCUGCGAUCCAUCCCCUCCUUCCUCUCCAAGCUUUUCCUUCCCCCUCGUUCGAUCUGGAUCCUCUCCCCCCCCCUCACUUCCUGGGGUGUUACAACUGGUAAUCAGAGCCACAAACCCUCCCGAAAUUUUUCUUCCUCGCUUGAUUGGGAGUCGGUAA
rnacentral:rRNA from 1 species